CGUGGAGACAGGUGGUGCAUGGCUGUCGUCAGCUCGUGUCGUGAGAUGUUGGGUUAAGUCCCGCAACGAGCGCAACCCUCACCCCUUGUUGCCACCGGGUUACGCCGAGCACUCUAGGGGAACUGCCAGCGUCAAGCUGGAGGAAGGCGGGGAUGACGUCAAGUCAUCAUGCCCCUUACGCCCUGGGCGACACACGUGCUACAAUGGCUGGUACAAAGGGAUGCAAGACCGCGAGGUGGAGCUAAUCCCAAAAAACCGGUCUAAGUUCAGAUUGCAGUCUGCAACUCGACUGCAUGAAGGAGGAAUCGCUAGUAAUCGCGCAUCAGCACGGCGCGGUGAAUACGUUCCCGGGCCUUGUACACACCGCCCGUCACACCACGAAAGCCGGCUGUACUCGAAGUCGCUGAG
rnacentral:rRNA from 1 species